UACGAAGGGGGCUAGCGUUGUUCGGAAUUACUGGGCGUAAAGGGCGCGUAGGCGGUGUGUCAAGUCAGGCGUGAAAGCCCCGGGCUCAACCUGGGAACCGCGCUUGAGACUGGCACGCUCGAGUUCGGGAGAGGAUGGUGGAAUUCCCAGUGUAGAGGUGAAAUUCGUAGAUAUUGGGGAGAACACCGAUGGCGAAGGCAGCCAUCUGGACCGACACUGACGCUGAGGCGCGAAAGCGUGGGGAGCAAACAGG
rnacentral:rRNA from 1 species